AUUGAACGCUGGCGGCAUGCCUAACACAUGCAAGUCGAACGAGUGGCGGACGGGUGAGUAAUGUCUGGGAACCUGCCCGAUGGAGGGGGAUAACUACUGGAAACGUUAGCUAAUCCCGCAUACCAUCAGAUGUGCCCAGCUGGGCUUGGCUUUUGGGUGGGGUAACGGCUAACAAAGGCCACGAUCCCUAGCUGGUCUGAGAGGAUGACCACCCAACUGGGACCUGAUAAACGGCCCGGACUCUUACGGGAGGCGGCAGUGGGGAACAUUGCACAAUGGGCGAAAGCCUGAUGCAGCCAUGCCGCGUGGAUGAAGAGGGCCUUCGGGUUGUAAAGUACUUUCAGCGGGGAGGCGUUACCCGCAGAAGAAGCACCGGCUAACUCCGUGCCAGCAGCCGCGGUAAUAC
rnacentral:rRNA from 1 species